CUCUGUGCUCUGCUCUCGUAUUUAUCGCAACAACCCGCCCUGCGGGCUGCGGCCCUGCCCCGUACACAAACAAGGCCGUAGCCCGCAGCUUCGUCUGUUACGCUACGUCCGGUUCCCCACCGCGCCGUGUGAAAAAAAUGGCUGUGCCGGAGGUGGUGGUGGACGGCGUCGUCUUCCCGCCGGCGGCCCGCCCGCCGGGCUCCGCGGGCUCGCAUUUCCUCGGCGGCGCAGGUGCGUUGCGUCCCCGGUCCAGUCCAGGCGUGCGUGGCCUCGAGAUCGGAGGCAACUUCGUCAAGUUCACGGCCAUCGGCGUGUACCUGGAGGACGCGGCCGUGCCGGCGCUGGCGAGGAAGUGGGCCGGCAAGACGGCCGGCGAGCUCGCGUCCGACGCCGCCUUCUUCCGCGACGUCGUCACGGGCGGCUUCGAGAAGUUCGCGCGGGUGACGAUGAUCCGCCCGCUCACGGGCGAGCAGUACGCGGGGAAAGUGGCGGAGAACUGCGUGGCGUACUGGAAGGCGGCCGGCCUGUACACGGACGCCGAGGGCGUCGCCGUGGAGAAGUUCAAGCAGGUGUUCAAGCCCCAUACGUUCCCGCCGGGAGCCUCCAUCCACUUCACGCACUCGCCCGCCGGAGUCCUCACCGUCGCCUUCUCCAGGGACUCGUCGGUGCCGGUUGCCGGCGGCGUGGCGAUCGACAACAAGCUUCUCUGCGAGGCCGUGCUGGAGUCCAUCAUCGGGGAGCACGGCGUGUCGCCGGCCGCGAAGCUGAGCCUCGCGGCGAGGGUGUCGGAGCUCCUGACCAAAGGGACCGCCGCAGCCGCAGCCGCGCUGCGGGCGGAGCCCGUCUCGGUUACCGCCUGAGCGGUCCAGCGAACCGCGAGGAGAAAGAGAACCGAUCAAGCAAUCACGUCUGCCGCCCUUGCGUGCUCCUGCUCCGAACAGAUGCCACGACGGACGGUGACGCUGUCGCGUCUGUUUGCGCUGUGGCGUUGGCGUCGUGUCUCUGCCUUUCUGGCCGCAUGUGUUCGCUGUGGUAACAUUUGAAUAAAAGAAAACGCAGAUUUGUUUGCACUGCACCCCCUAAUUCCCCAGCGUGUGUGGAUCAAUGUUUGACUCAACCACGGACUUUGGAGAUUGCUUAUUAGUACUGUGACGCCGAGACUAGUCACGGUUCCUGCUCUAACUAUGACCUACUUUGGC
rnacentral:misc_RNA from 1 species